rnacentral:rRNA from 1 species
UCUACGGGAGGCAGCAGUCGAGAAUCAUUCACAAUGGGGGAAACCCUGAUGGUGCGACGCCGCGUGGGGGAAUGAAGGUCUUCGGAUUGUAAACCCCUGUCAUGUGGGAGCAAAUUAAAAAGAUAGUACCACAAGAGGAAGAGACGGCUAACUCUGUGCCAGCAGCCGCGGUAAUACAGAGGUCUCAAGCGUUGUUCGGAAUCACUGGGCGUAAAGCGUGCGUAGGCUGUUUCGUAAGGCGUGUGUGAAAGGCGCGGGCUCAACCAGCGGACGGCACAUGAUAAUGCGAGACUAGGGUAAUGGAGGGGGAACCGGAAUUCUCGGUGUAGCAGUGAAAUGCGUAGAUAGCGAGAGGAACACUCGUGGCGAAGGCGGGUUCCUGGACAUUAACUGACGCUGAGGCACGAAGGCCAGGGGAGCGAAAGGGAUUAGAUACCCUAGUAGUC